rnacentral:lncRNA from 1 species
GGAAAGUUAAGGAUGCUGGAGCAGAACAAUGGAUUUCUCUUUCUCUUUCAUGCAAGGGAUCAUGGGAAACACAAUUCAGCAACCACCUCAACUCAUUGACUCGGCCAAUAUCCGCCAGGAGGAUGCCUUUGAUAACAACAGUGACAUUGUUGAAGAUGGUGGCCCGACACCCUUCGAAGCUACUUUGCAACAAGGUUUCCAAUGUCCACCUGCAACAGAAGACCUUCCUCCACUCACAAACGGCUACCCACCGUCCAUCAGCUUGUAUGAGACUCAAACCAAAUACCCGCCAUAUAGCCAGUAUCCCAAUGGGUCAGCCAACGGUUUUGGUGCAGUUAGAAACUUUAGUCCUACUGACUAUUACCAUUCAGAAAUUCCAAACACAAGACCACAUGAAAUUCUGGAAAAACCGUCUCCCCCACAGCCUCCUCCUCCUCCUCUUCUUCCUCCUCCUCCUCCUCCGGUACCACAAACUGUGAUUCCAAAGAAGACAGGCUCACCCGAGAUUAAACUAAAAAUAACCAAAACUAUCCAGAAUGGCAGGGAAUUGUUUGAGUCCUCCCUCUGUGGAGACCUUUUAAACGAAGUACAGGCCAGUGAGCACUUAAAGUCAAAGCACGAAAGCAGAAAGGAAAAGAGGAAAAAAAGCAGCAGACACGAGUCAUCGAGAUCCGAAGAGCGAAAGUCACACAAGGUC